AACGAACGCUGGCGGCAUGCCUAACACAUGCAAGUCGAACGGGAUCCGGACUUCGGUCCGGUGAGAGUGGCGGACGGGUGAGUAACACGUGGGAACCUGCCUUUUGGUUCGGGAUAACCGCGGGAAACUGCGGCUAAUACCGAAUGCUCCCGAGAGGGGAAAGAUUUAUCGCCAGAAGAGGGGCCCGCGUCCGAUUAGGUAGUUGGUGGGGUAAUGGCCUACCAAGCCGACGAUCGGUAGCUGGUCUGAGAGGAUGAUCAGCCACACUGGGACUGAGAUACGGCCCAGACUCCUACGGGAGGCAGCAGUGGGGAAUAUUGGACAAUGGGGGCGAACCCUGAUCCAGCAAUGCCGCGUGAGUGAUGAAGGCCUUAGGGUUGUAAAGCUCUUUUGCCAGGGAAGAUGAUGACUGUACCUGGAGAAUAAGCCCCGGCUAACUUCGUG
rnacentral:rRNA from 1 species